AUGAAUAANNNNNNNNNNNNNNNNNNNNNNNNNNNNNNNNNNNNCGGGCGAAGCUGCCGCUCGGUAUCGUCUUCUCGACGGCCCUUUUCUGCGGGGAGGGGGCGGCGGCCACCGUCCUCUGCCUCUCCUACGGCCACUCCGACGACCGCUUCUGGCUGGCGCUCACCGUCUUCUUCGUGCUCUGCCCCUCCGUCCUGGUCCAGCUCACUCUCAUCUUCGUCCACCGCGACCUCAGCCGCGACCGCCCCCUCGUCCUCCUCAUGCACUUGCUCCAGCUCGGGCCCAUCAUCAGGUGCAUGGAGGCCCUGGUGGUGUACUGCUGGUCGGGGAAGGAGGAGGAGCCCUACGUCACCAUCACCCGCAAGCGGCGGCUGCGGAACGGCUACGAGGUGGAGAUGGAGCAGGAGGUGGGCCACUCGGUCCGCCGGCUGGCCACCCACCGCAACGCCUUCAAGCGCAUGGCUGUCAUCCAGGCCUUCCUGGGCUCCACCCCGCAGCUCACCCUCCAGCUCUACAUCAGCAUCCUGGAGAAGUACGUCCCUGCUGCCCGAGGUAAGGGCACCUGCCACGGGGGCCGUGCAGGUGGGACACCACCGGGGCACGGUGGUAGCUCCUUAGCCACAUGUGGCACCUGAACAAAGCUCUGGGGGCUUGCCACCAGACUGCCCUAGACGUGGAGGAUGGCCCACAGAGGUUUCAUGCUCGUCUGUCCCCCCUGGUUUGCUUGUCCCACCCCCAGCGCGCCGCUUUUCCAGCUGGGAGGGUGGGAAGAGCUGGCCAUGGCCAAGGCUCGGUGCUUGUAGACAUCUGCCCUGAGGAGCCAUGCCACCCACCCGCUGCCCUGUCCCAUGGAGAUGUCAUGCCCCUGCCCCAGGAUGCUCCAGUUCACAUUCGUUACUGGGUUUUUCCAGCUCUGGCUUCCCCAUGUUCCCUCUCCUGGAUCUAUUUCUGAGCCUUUCCCAGCAGCCGGAGCUCCCAGCCCAGAGCUCCCGGGCUCCCUCGCCUGCUCCCGGGGUGUUGGUGUGCUCAGGGGCUGGAUGUGCCGGAGAGAGCUGUUAAAUCCCACUCUGGAAUGUCGAUGAACCAGGCGUGAAGGCACUGCCCUUGCCAACCUGCUUUCCUGGCCAUACUGGGAGCCCAGACCUUGCCCUCUGUGCCCACCUACGCAACAGUGGGGUGGCCCUUGGUCCAGGUGAGGGCAGAGGGGUCCUCACAGCAACGGACCGUGCCCCGGUCCCCCUUGAGCAGCAUUUCUUGUGUAGGGCAAGGGGGGAUCCUAGCACAGGAAUGGCCCCAGUUUGGGAGAGGCUCCUGGUUUAUUGGUUCAGGGAGAAAAUCUGGGAGCAGAGCCUCCUGCUGCCUGCAGCUCCCCCCACAGCCACCCCAUCAUGGGGUCUGUCACCACCAGCCACCAGCUGUCCCAGCAGUGCCCAGUGAGACUCCUGCUGCAAGCCCCGGGGCUUGGCACCCCACACAUUCCACCCAGGGUUGUCAUCCCAAGCUUUGCACCCAGGGUUGGCACCCAACACUUCACACCCAGGGUUGGUACCCCAUGCUUUGCACCCAGGGUUGGUAUCCCAAGCUUUCCACCCAUGGUCGUCACCCUAUGCUUCACUCC
rnacentral:lncRNA from 1 species